UACAGAGGGGGCAAGCGUUGUUCGGAAUUACUGGGCGUAAAGGGCGCGUAGGCGGCCGCCUAAGUCAGACGUGAAAUCCCUCGGCUCGACCGGGGAACUGCGUCUGAUACUGGGUGGCUUGAAUCCGGGAGAGGGAUGCGGAAUUCCAGGUGUAGCGGUGAAAUGCGUAGAUAUCUGGAGGAACACCGGUGGCGAAGGCGGCAUCCUGGACCGGCAUUGACGCUGAGGCGCGAAAGCCAGGGGAGCAAAGCGGG
rnacentral:rRNA from 1 species